UCGCCCCCUAACUACUGUUGCGGUCUGUAGGCUGUGUCCUGACCUGUGCACAAAAAGACACAUAAGUGUAGUAUCACCACAACCGACCCUAUGUGUUGGUAAGUGCCCGGCCUAACCUCGGCGAGGUAGUGACGAGGCUAAACCAUACCUACCACAAAUAACUUGUACAGAGAUAUGUGCAAUAACAUACGAUAACAAGAAUUUAAACAAAUAAAAGGAGAAGAAACAUGUUGGGGGAGUAGCAGUUCAAUUAUAACUUCAACAAGCAAGAGAUGGAACUGAUUAAAUAAUAAUUAAAUAAAAAAAGCCAAUAAAUCAAUAAUUGUACGGCAUCACCUGUCACACCUCAUUUUUUACACACCAUACCCCGAAGGAUAAAUGUAUAAGGGUUUUUUUCCAUUUAAAGUGACAUUAUUCGGAUCGGGAUUAGUUAUUUGUUCGGAGUCGUCACUUGGGAAAGGUUUUGCUUUUGGCGUCCCAAGUCACCGGUUUUUUCUUGAAUCCCGAACCGAGGAAAAUUUCGACUUCCGAUUGGAGUCUGCGAACCAGAAAUUCUGAAUAAGGAAUUAUGUUGACCCGAGGGAAGGUGUUAGGCACUCUCGGAUCCCGUGGUUCUAGCAGGGUCGCUUAUAUUAUUGUAUUUGAUUAAAACCUGAUUUUAAAGUAUGCUAACUUAUAUGCCCUUUUAUUUAUAAACCGCUUUUAUCUUUAUUUAUUUGUAAAAGAUUUGUGACGUCAUGAAAACGCGUCUUCGACCACGCCGCCAUCAAGGCACCCGUGUUUAAGGAAGGUAAUUUUAAUUACGCGCCUAAAGCAACUACGCCUUUUUAACUUUGCGAGGGCCAUGGGAGUUUUCUACAUGGCACGCCUCAAAUUCUAAGAGUUAAAAUCAACUAAGUGAGGGCCAUGAAUUUUAAUAUUUCAUUUGGCAUGCCGCCCCUCAAAAUUGUUUCAAAAGGCUUUACUCAACUGAAACAAACUAUGAAUAUUCAUAUUUAAAACAGAUUAGGUGUCAUAAAUACGCUACAGGAACCGCCUAUAGUCACGAAAAUUUAUUUAUUGAAAGUUCCCACAAUAAACAAGCGAGUAAAAAGGACUAGCAAUUCUAAAUGAAAUUUCACCGAUUCAAUUUUACGAAAAUUUUAACUCAUAAUCAAGAUACUUGCACCAGAGAGAUUCACGCAAUCCAAGAUUCUCAACUUCUUUAUUAAGAAAAUCAUACACAUAAUUUUCAAAGAAAGAUCAGUAUUUCAACAGUGUUAGUAUAUGAUAGGCAAUUUGUUUCCACUUCUAAAUCCUCAUACCACUGUUUCAUUGCUCUAUGAUUUAAGUCAAUCUAAAGCUCAAUUACUUGACACUACCUAGGAAGUCGAUGCACCAACGCAAAUCAACAUGAAUGGGCCAUAGCACAGUACUAAUUUCUGAAAGGUUUAGCUCAACUACAAUUAGAAGUUCUAAGGAUAUCAGCAGGUUCAUAAGCCCAAUUAUGCCUCCUAAAAGUACUUAUCGGAAUCUAAAACCAUCAUCCUUGUUUAAUAUUAAAAUUAAUUACAUAUUCACUUCUUUUAAGAGUUUUAACUUCAGACUAAUCCCAUUGAGAACAAAGCAGUAUGUUAUAUCAGGUAGAAGCAACAAAAGGUCUCCUUGAAUUCACAAGUUAAGUUUAAUUAUUGAAAGGACGCAUGACUAGGAUAGUCCGAAUAGCAGCAAAUAAACAUGGAACCACAAAUUAUAAACUUCUAAUGGAAAUUUUAUCCAAAACAGCACUCUAUUUUAAAUGCCCCAGAAUAAUUACAUUAUCACCAUCCUGAAUUACAACGUGAGAGUGAUACCACGCAACAUACAUAACACAACAAUUGAAUAUAGACCCAAUACAAUUUCAAUCAAAAAACACUUUGGAUAAUAAAUACAACAUUCAAAUUGUUCCCAAAUGUUUGGAGCUUGUGACAGAUUCAUGGCAUUUCUAGCUCAAACGAGUUUAGAACUCGGGUCCCAAAUACUAUGGCAAUAUCUAAAUCCAAUUUUAUACUCAAAAUGGACAAAACAUGCAAAUCAAUGAUUAUAAUCACUUGCUCAACAGAUAAGAACAUGUAAUUUCGGAAAUCCUUUCUCAUAAAAAACAAGUGGUCCAAAUCAAAUUACAGAGUCAAAAUUGAGGAAACGUACCUUGCUCCAACAGACAACAACUAUCCAGUAUAGUCCCACAAAGUGGGGUCCGGGAAUAAAAAAAACAAUGAUAAGGAAUGAAUCAGGGCUCAGCAAUGCAGCGAAUCAGCAGCACACAGUAGUUUUCUUCGAUUUAAAUGCUUUUACCCAGGAAAUGUGCAGCAACCCAUUAAACUUGAAAAAGCCAUCGGCUCUAAGGGAAAGGGGGCAC
rnacentral:lncRNA from 1 species